AAUCUAAAUUUUCAACGAUGGAUGUCUUGGCUCCCAUAUCGAUGAAGAACGCAGCAAGAAUGCGAUAUGCAAUGUGAAUUGCAGAACCAUGAAUCAUCGGAUAUUCUAACGCAACUGGCACUGGUUUACCAGUAUAUUUGUUUCAGUGUGCUU
rnacentral:rRNA from 1 species